UACGAAGGGGGCUAGCGUUGCUCGGAAUUACUGGGCGUAAAGCGCACGUAGGCGGCUUCUUAGUCGGUGGUGAAAUCCUGGAGCUCAACUCCAGAACUGCCUUCGAUACUGGGAGCUCGAGUCCGGGAGAGGUGAGUGGAACUGCGAGUGUAGAGGUGAAAUUCGUAGAUAGUUCGCAAGAACACCAGUGGCGAAGGCGGCUCACUGGCCCGGUACUGA
rnacentral:rRNA from 1 species